CCACCAUUGUGAGGAGUCAAGAGGAGUCUGGAAAAAUAACUAUCUUGUUGACUCCUUUCAAAUGACUGCAAUGUGGAAAGGAUCAUUCAGGGGAUUAAACAAGCUUGACCCAAUGGCCUAUGAUGUCCUAAUAGGCCCAGUCUGUGACAAUCGGCACUGGACACUUGUGGUCAUUUAUCCAAACGAGAAGCGUUCAAUUUACAUCGACCCCUUUGGUGAAACUCCUGCCCACAUAACAAAAUGCAAGGAUAUGACGAGGCAAG